UUAAAUGCCCAUUCGUCUAUAAAUCUGUGAGGCAUAAGUGUCUGAGAUUAGGUCUGCAACCUACAUCUAGAAAGGAAAUACGUUUUCAGUCAAGGAUAAUAUUGUAUCAUUUGACAAUGUCAUAACUGGCUUCCAAGGAGAACUGCGCGGUGGAGGCCGGUUAAUAAUUCAGAUGGUAGAACGUGUUCCUGUAGAAAAGGCCGACCUGUCACUGUGCCACUCUAGUUUUAAUCCUGCAGGAGUAAAAACCUGUUUAUAAAUGGGUGAAUCAGGUCUGUGAAUAUUUAAUCGAUCAUCCGACAUAAAAAAAGUGACAAAUGUGCUUCAUUCAGACAGCAAAAAAUGUGAUGCAUUGAUGUUUAAGUCAAUGUAAGCAACAGAUAUAACAAACUCACUUUAUUUCUGCUUCAGAGGCAAAUGGGUAGUCACAGUUUUAAUGUGAAGAUAAACUAACUGCAGACAAUAGCAGUAAGAUACAGACUAACAAAUCAACCUAUGCCAAGUAUGGCAUUUUGAAUGCUAGGUUUUAUCUGAAUUUCACCAAUCAGAGGUACACUGUGAUUGAAAAGAAUCCUACGUCCCACAGUAACAUGCUCCAUUUCUGUAAUCAAAAUCCUGUGAAUAAGCUGAAUAUUUGAAUCUCCGGAAAGAAAAAAUGCCCAAUAAAAAUUAAAGACGCUGUAUAUAAUCUCAAGUGAAAAUGUCAAACAGCAUGGUAGCUUUGAAGGACAGCUCGGGGCUUUGGAAGGCGGUGAAGGUGUAAACAUCUCUGGCCAGUGCAACCCACCCCAAAAAUCUAUUAUAAUUUCCUUUACAUAAAGACAUUUGCACCAUAAAUAGAUGCAGAAAGGGCACAAACUGUUGCAGAAAAAAAAAUCACCAGAAUAUGAAGUGUUUGACAUUAAAAUUUCAAUCUUGCUCAAAAGUGGAACUCUCAAUCCCCCUAAUGUUGAACCCAGAGUACCGCCCUUGGCUGCACCAAUAAAUACAGAUCAGUGCUCCUCAUAUACCAUCAGCGUUAUUGUUCCAUACAAGCACUGCUUCAAGGAUGUUCAUUUGCAUCAGGGAAAAUAGAAAUAAAUGCAUAUUUGGAAGAAAGGCAGCACGUCCUCAGACCUUCAAUCUCGUCGUCAGUCCCCCAACACCAUCAUCACAGCCAGUGUCAAAAGGUGAGGUCCACCUGGGCUGAGGACCACGUUCACAACCAGAUACAGCCAACGCAAGUGAAGCCCAUGAAGUCUUCACAGAGCUCAGUGGCCAUCACAGCUUUCCUGUGGAGGGAAAAACAGAGUUGUACUAUUAAAGCAGAGGAUGUAAAAAUGGAUGAAAUGUUAAUAAAAGGAGGUUAAACUA